AGUUAUAUUUGUGCCACAAUCCUGAGCGCACAGUGUGAAAUUUUGAGCACAGAAAACAAUUUUGAGCAAUGAAAAACUUAAUCUGAGCAAACAAAAAUCUGUUCUGCACUCAAAAAAUAUAUUUUUAUAUUUGCAACUAUCCACAUACACACACAGUCUUAAUGCUUUUCACUCGGUUUUUCACUCUGCUCUCCUGUGGAUCUCUGCUCUACGUCCUUGCUACGUCUCUCUCGCUCUCGCUCAACAUCUGCUCUCUGCACACGCUCAAAUCUGCCUUCACGCUCGCUCAACUCUGCACGGCGUUACAAAUGUGCCACAAUUCCAGCCAAUCACAGACUUCUGAUUCUAUCCAAUCGGGUCCCUGUUUCGGCCGCCUCUCGGAAGCGCUGUUAAAAACGAUCGCUAAAUCAACUGGAGUUCUGCUAUAUACGCUGGACUACGACAGAUUUUCGAGCCACUGGACCCUCGUUUAAUUAGCCAAGAUUAGCAAAGCUGUACCGUGUCGGAUCCUGAACGACAACACAACGGUGCACCACAUCGACAUGUCUUGUACUUGGAUGCUGCAACAAAUAACAGAGCACAAACUGCAUUCUCAUUCUUCAUCACAUCGGUCCAGCUUCAUGGCUUACCGUCAAGGGUUAGGGCAGAUCAGGGAGUAGAAAACCUGGAUAUUGCACAUUUCAUGUUUGCCACACGAGGAACAGGAAGAUCGAACUUCAUCUCUGGAAAAAGUACCAUGACAUUCUUCACUCUCUGGAAGAGGAUGGUCUACUUGACAUAUCUGAUGCCACUCUUCUCUUUGGUGUGCACUACGUCUUUGUCCCCGACUCCGGGCAGAUCUUGAUACCUUUAUUGAAGGAUGGAAUAAUCAUUCUCUGUGGACAGAGGGAGGUCUCACCCCUGAACAGCUGUGGUGCAUGGGACGUCUACAAGAUCUGGAUGAGGGGGAGAGACUCAAGGACCUUCAGGACCCAGGCGUUGACUGGCAGAGUGCUGUGCUGCAGGAAGACUCUCAUGGCACAGUUGUGGUUCCUGAAUUUGAGUGCCCACUGGAUGAUGAAGCCCUGGAAGAACUUCAGAGAACUAUCAACCCUC